UGGGGAAUAUUGGACAAUGGGCGCAAGCCUGAUCCAGCCAUGCCGCGUGGGUGAAGAAGGCCUUCGGGUUGUAAAGCCCUUUUGUCCGGGAAGAAAUCGUCUGGGCUAAUACCCCGGGCGGAUGACGGUACCGGAAGAAUAAGCACCGGCUAACUUCGUGCCAGCAGCCGCGGUAAUACGAAGGGUGCAAGCGUUACUCGGAAUUACUGGGCGUAAAGCGUGCGUAGGCGGUUCGUUAAGUCCGAUGUGAAAGCCCUGGGCUCAACCUGGGAACUGCAUUGGAAACUGGCGGGCUGGAGUGCGGUAGAGGGUGGCGGAAUUCCCGGUGUAGCAGUGAAAUGCGUAGAUAUCGGGAGGAACACCCGUGGCGAAGGCGGCCACCUGGACCAGCACUGACGCUGAGGCACGAAAGCGUGGGGAGCAAACA
rnacentral:rRNA from 1 species